AACCUAAACCUUUUUUUUUGGCGGGGGUGAAGCAUAAAGAACAGCUUUAUUGCUUUGCCAGGCUAAGGAGGCCACAGCAGGCUAAGGACCUCAAAACUGUGUCCUCCCUUGAGAGGGGAUAGCAAGGGGUUCUAUAGGUUUAGCUUAAUGGUGGGCGUGGGAGUGGGGGGGCUGUCUAGAAGCAUCAGGGUGCUUGCAUUCUUCUCCCUGGAUAGGAGAUAGGAUAGACCAUUUCAAAGUCAUCAAGGCUGGAGUCAGGUGGUCCAUGGAAUGUUUCUAGUGUCUUUGGGGUUAUGGCAUUUUGACCUUCUCUCUGGAGUGAAGAUUGCUCAUCCACAGGGCGGGGGGGGGGGGGCGGGGCCGGGGCAUCCUUAGGGAGUGUUUCAAGGGUAGAGAAAACACCAGGUUCACUACAACUCUGACUCGACAGUAGUCAUUAGUCAUAAGUUCAUAAGUUCAUGGGCCAAGGCAAGCCGUAACCUAAUGGAGACUAUUUCAAAGUAGCUUUUAGCUGUAACAAUGUCUCCGGCUCCAACACACCAGCACUCCAGGGCUUGAGCUUGGUUUCAGUUUCAGAGGAGGGAAUUGUGGCUCCAAGAAUUAACCCCUUUGUUCCUUUGGUUUCUGUGGGCCUGGUUCGGGGAGCCCAUCCACAUCACCUCCUUUUGAGAGGCCAUCUGACAACUGUUUCAACAAAGCGACGUCGUCUCAAAACAAGGAAACCAGUUCCAUGAAAUGGAGGGUCUCUCCCUCCCUCUCCCUCCCUCUCCCUCCCUCUCCUUCUCACUCUCCUCUACCCCCAGCUCAUGGCAACAUGGGAUUCAUUCCAAGGGGAGGGGCACCACUUGAGACGCAGCACACAGCCUGGCGCUGGACGCCAAACCCGGCCUGGCCGGCGUGACCCUCCCCCAACUCGGAGGGGGGAGGCACAGGCCGCAUUAGGCAAAAGAGCAGUGCUUGGCCCCCACCAUGGGGGGGCCAGCGCACACCUCGCACAAGGGCGGCUCUUGCCCACACACUGUGGCAAGUAGGCAGCUACUGCCUGCAGACUUCAGAGGAGUAGCUGAAGUCCAGGUACCCCAAGGCCCCCCUCUGAGAGCGCUAGAGAAGACUUUCUCACCGAGGGCGCGUCGUGCCCCACACACCAUCGCUCGCCCCUUCGGGGACCCACAGGAGUGGGAACACACUCCCAAAAAGUGGGAAGCCAGAAGGGGGGGCUGCUCGUGGGGCACACCACCACCACAGUGGGGACCCGAGGGGACUCACCGCUGGGAGAGGAAAACGACACCACCGCUCGGCCUCGGGCAUCUGACAGGCAACCCGGAGUACUCCAGGGGCACCACAGAGGACCAGGGGAGACCAGAGGUCAGGCCAGAGGCCGCACCCCUAUCUUCCCCCACAACACCCGCAGGUGGGGGAGGAGCAGCGAGGGGCCCGCGGACAGAAUGAGAGGUGCGGCCUAGCUCACCGUGAGAGGCUGUCCCUCAUCUGGCGUGGCUUAGGCCCAAGCCCAGGAGAGCGCCACAUCACCACAUUGAUGUAAACCUUUUUUUUUAAUCAUUUCAUAAUUAUGUUGGUUGACUUGUCUGUGAUUCUGAUCUUACAAGGAGAUGAAACUCUUUGUAGCAGUGGGUGAGC
rnacentral:lncRNA from 1 species